GUGCUUCAGCAGCACGUAUACUAAAACUGGAAUGAUCCAGAGAGCAUUAGCAUGGCCCUCGCACAAGAAUAAAACGUCAUUUCAUGAAGCAUUCCAUAUUUGU